UUGUGGGAAAGUUCUGAUGUCAUCUUCCCUUUUUAAUCACUUCCUAUAGAAGGAAAGUCAGACUGUCAUACCGGCAAAAAGUUUUCCAGUGAAGAACUAAAACAGUAAAACGGUUCUUAUUUAUUUAAUACAAAACAUACAGAAUAAAUUUACAUCAUGUCAGGCUGGGAUUCAUAUGUCACAAGUGUUAGAGACCUAUCGGCAGCAGGUGAAUGUGUUGGUGCAGGAAUAUAUGGUAACGACGGAAGUAAAUGGGCAAGUACUGAAGGCGUAAAUAUAAUGGCAGAUGAAAUCCAAAAGGCGCGUACAUGGCUGGAUGACAAAGAAGGCAGUGACUACACACAUGGAAUAACUCUUGAUGGUAAUCCCUACACGUUCCUUCGACAUCUUGAAGAUAAUGCAGGUACAAUGGCAUUGAAAAGAAAACACAGAGAAGGUGAAACACUGAAUGAUAAACAAAUGUACCAGGCAUUCAUAGCAGCCUCAAAAACAGCAGUCAUGGUAGCGCUAUUUGUAGGAGGAAAGAGAGGCAAUGAAACUGCUGGAGUCAAAAGAAUGUCGGACCUCAUUGAAUAUUUAAAAAGUAAUAAUAUGUAAGCUAUAUUUCAGUGACUUGUUUGAGAAUAGCUGAAAGUUAACAGGCCUAAAAAGCACUCUUUUCAACUAGUAUGCAUCAGUGAAAAAAAUAUUAAAAAUUGGACUUAAUUUAUCAGUUCAGGGGACGAGGCACAGCUUUUGCAGUGACACAAAUUGUGAUGUUUAUUUGCAAGUUUGCUUAUUAUGAAUUCCCGUUUUCGUUUUGCAGACUUUUAUAUAAUUUUUACAGUUUAAUUUAUCAAUGUUUCAAAUGUCUUCAAAUUUUAUGUCAUUAAUAUAACUCGACUUAAAAUUUGUAAUUACAUAUAUCUUUAAUGGUGUACUGAUAUUUCGUUUAAUUUUAGACAACCUAGUGUAAAAAUGUUAUAAUAUUACAAAUAUCAAAAUCUGGUUUUAUUGAAAUAUAGCUAAUUUCAGGGAACUUGAAUUGUUUAACAGAAACGCAAUCGGUAGUAAACUUAAACGUUUUUUUUUAUGUUUUGUUGUAGUGUUACUUCCUUUUUAGCAUUUCGUGAUUUAUUUAAUUACAUUGAAGCAAACAUAUUCUAGCUUAAAUAUUUAACUACUGCUGAACAAAAAGACUGUAUUUUUUUUGUACAACCAGAGUUGCCCAAUUACGAAAUCUAAAAUAUAGGUAGUUCUCUGCAACUUAUUUUUGGUGGUUCUAUCCUUUGGUAUCAAAACCUGCAACUAAGAAGUACCAUGAACAGACAACUCUUGUAACACUCAAUUCAUUGCAAAAUGUCGCUUAUAUUUCAGUUACACAUAUCAAGCUGUUUGUGUUUGCUUUAAAGGACCUUCUUAUUUUUUCUCCUAUUCUGAGAAGAUGUUAUAUUUUUCUUUAUUACAUGUUUUUUUCUUCUUCUUGCUUUGGCACUAGCACCCAAUUUGGUUCUGAAAUAUCAGGGUCGGGAAGUCAUAUCUGUAAGUGUAAAAUGUUGUUUCAAGAAGGUUGUUAUAUUAUUGCUGUUAGUGUAUUUAGACUAUAAACCAAAUUCAGGUUUGUAACGCAUGGAAUUAUACGCGAUCAAGCAUGGCGGGUACAAACAUAUUAAAACUGUCAAAAUGUGAUGUUGUUUUCAGACAUUUACACAAAGGUAUUUAAGCCUCGGAAGUGUUGAAACAUUAGACGAACUUCAAUUUUCAUCUAUAAACGCCAAAUUCAUUAAAAAUUUGUUUUCAACAUGCUUCAAAAAACAGCAUUCUAAAAAGGCAAAAAAAUAUUACAGAACCGAGACUGCAAUUAUAUUGUAGUGUCUGUUUAAGUUAUCCGCAUCAAUGCUUGAUCGCAAUAUUGUUAGUAGUAUUUUCACGAAAAAAAUAUUGUUGUAUUGAGUCUUACUCAAAUUUGAAUAUAUAUAUCAAUGUUUUUCAUAAACUUUGGAUAAUAAAGCUUCUUAGUGCCUUGAA